rnacentral:rRNA from 1 species
UACGUAGGUCCCGAGCGUUGUCCGGAUUUAUUGGGCGUAAAGCGAGCGCAGGUGGUUUAUUAAGUCUGGUGUAAAAGGCAGUGGCUCAACCAUUGUAUGCAUUGGAAACUGGUAGACUUGAGUGCAGGAGAGGAGUGUGGAAUUCCAUGUGUAGCGGUGAAAUGCGUAGAUAUAUGGAGGAACACCGGUGGCGAAAGCGGCUCUCUGGCCUGUAACAGACACUGAGGCUCGAAAGCGUGGGGAGCAAACAGG